UACAGGGAGACAGGACGGACAGCUGAUCGUCCUCGCAGUGGCAGACCACAUGAAACAACACCUGCACAGGAUCGGUACAUCCGAACAUCACACCUGCGGGACAAGUACAGGAUGGCAACAACAUCCGCCAGAGUUAGACCAGGAACGUACAAUCCCUCCAUCAGUAAUCAGACUGUCCGCAAUAUAGGCUGUGAAACUGACAAUUAACAUGUAACCAAAGAGGAGGAGUUCUUCAGUCUGUCUCACUGUCAGCUGUUGGAGCUCAUCAGCCAGGACAGCCUCAAGGUGCUCUGUGAGUCAGAGGCCAACUCCUGUAGCGACUUCCUUUCGAAGAUAUUCCAGGAAAUGGCGUUGAGGAAGCCCCUCCCCCCUGCGCCUCACCGUGGAACGCAGCUUAUCUACGUAGCCGGAGGGUAUCGGCAGCACUCUCUGUCUUCUAUGGAGGCCUAUGACCCUGGUAGGAACAUCUGGCUGAAGCUAGCUGACAUGGGCUCUCCCUGCAGUGGCCUGGGCUCCUGUGUGCUGUUUGACCUGCUCU